GGCCAGAGCUGCACCAGACUCCCAGGGCGAGGACAGAAGAAGGACAUGGGAUGAAGGACUACACCUUCCACAAACCAACUCCAAAGAGAACAAGACUGUAAACACUUAAGGCGGAUCACAGUUACGGAUCACAGUUGCGCAGUACUGCAUCCGGAGUGAGGAAAUCAAUCAAACUCAUGACAGACUGACAUCUCCUCAGAUGAGCCUCAGGCAAACUCCUCAACAGUUGUUCCAGAAGGAGGAACAGUCCUCAGAGGAGACAGCAAUUGAUCCAGGGCAUCACCCCAGAACUUUCCAGUGCAGCAAGAGGUGGAGGAGGACAAUUGUGACCCUUGACCAUGCAGACCACGAUCAGGCCAAGGAUAAAGUUGUGAGUGUGUGUUCAACAACAUACCCACAAAAAAAUGAAAAAUAGAAAUGUUAGAAAUAUUAGAGAAAUUUUACUCUGGCUGCACACUGUGUACUCUUUCUUAUUGCUAUGACAAAAGCAAAAAAUGUUUUAAAGAUGAAAUGUGUGAAGUUCAACUUUUACAUUGAGAUUAAUUUAUUUAUUAUUGAUGUUUGUUUUGUUUAACUUAACAUCAAGUAGACAGUGCUCAUUUUUCUAUUCUUUUUCUCAAAUGA
rnacentral:lncRNA from 1 species